rnacentral:rRNA from 1 species
UGGGGAAUAUUGCACAAUGGGCGAAAGCCUGAUGCAGCAACGCCGCGUGCGGGAUGACGGCCUUCGGGUUGUAAACCGCUUUCAGCAGGGACGAAGGUUUUCUGACGGUACCUGCAGAAGAAGCACCGGCUAACUACGUGCCAGCAGCCGCGGUGAUACGUAGGGUGCGAGCGUUGUCCGGAAUUAUUGGGCGUAAAGAGCUUGUAGGCGGUUCGUUGCGUCGGAAGUGAAAACUCAGGGCUUAACCCUGAGCCUGCUUUCGAUACGGGCGGACUUGAGGGAUGUAGGGGAGAACGGAAUUCCUGGUGGAGCGGUGGAAUGCGCAGAUAUCAGGAGGAACACCAGUGGCGAAGGCGGUUCUCUGGACAUUUCCUGACGCUGAGAAGCGAAAGCGUGGGGAGCAAACAGG